rnacentral:lncRNA from 1 species
UGAGGGGCCAUGAGCAUAUUAACUGAGAGUAACAACCCUAACGGUGUCUGCAGCAGAUUAGAGGAAUCUGCACUUAACCAUUGUUGGGAUGUUAGAUGCAAUGAGUUAAUGUAGCAAAAGGUUCUAGUUAAAUUCCUGGACCACAGACAGCAGAACUCAAAAUGCACCCAUGUGUCGGUGGAGAGCCGGGAUCCAGAUCAGCAGACACACAGAGGGCUGUGCUCACCCUGUAGCCACUCACUCACUUGCAUGUGAUAUGCACAGGCUGCCACCCUCCCCCCCAAAUCUUUUGUAGAAUUUUUAACUAGUUGGUUCUAGCAACCAUUCUGUUAUAGCCCCAUUCAUGGCACAGGCUGACUGUAUCUUAUUCUAAUAUUAAUUAACAGCUAUUGGUUUUGCUGUUUUCUUAGCUUUAGUUUUGCACGAAAUGAUUGUCAGAGAAGAUUGAGGAGUUUAAAACAUGAACUAUGCUCACAUUCUAAAGGAGUUUGUGCCAUAGAUAUGCCUGCUAAUUUAGUGAGUAUGGAUUUAAUGCUUUUAGCAUUUUACCUAUAAAUCUGCACAUAUAUUAAGAUCAGAUGUGUACGUUAACUAACAAUGAGCAUAUGCAAAAAAAAAUGGGCCUCUGAAUUGGGAAUUCAGAAAAUCUUUAGUACUGUGUUAGGUAUUUAUUAACCUGAAGAAGGGCUUCAGGAAGCAACUGGCGCGAAUCCAGCAGUUCAGACUUGAUCCCAGAUGCAAUCCAGCGAUCCUAGGUCCAGUGCGUCCUUCAUCACAUGUUCAGCAAUCUUCUCAUGGAGCCCUGCACAGCUCUUCUGGCAUGCUCAAACCGUAUUGAGAGCUCCAUCCAGGAUGUCACCCACGCAGAAGGUUUCACACGUGAGCCACUGGCCCUAUCGGAUUGGCCGCCAAGGUUGGGGCUCCGUGCCAUGAUCUACCUCUCCGGUGCCAGGAGCCCGACGUCCACAGCCUGUGGUUUGAAUGGGCCCAGUUUCUCACUGAUGCUGUCCUUGCCUGGAACGCAGAACAGCGUCUUCUUCUAGCACCCAGCUCUUGGGUAAACCAGUCUCUACAUAGACUCCCCUUGCUGGAGGUUAAUAACAAACUGGAGUGAAUUGAGCAGAAAAAGAUCCUCAGCUCAAGAUCUCCGAGUUUUCUCUCCAUGAGGUAAAUCCUAAGCAAACCUGAGUCUGAGAACAUCAAUCUUCUGGAAAAUUCUAAGAAUCCAUCUUCCACCAAAGGAAACGAAAGACUCUGAUGACAUCCUAUGGAAGGCCUCACCAUCCAGGGGGAGCAGAGAAGAUAUGUGACAGAUAAGGUUUUAGUGGGGGGAGGCAGGUUGGGGAGGACCGGUGGGAGAAGGGAAAUGGGAUUAUCAUGUAAAACAAUCCUGUUCCUAAUUCAAAUAAAAAAAGUUGAAAAAAAAAAAAGAAUCCAUUUUCGAAUACCUGGCAUUCUUUUUACACUUUAC